CAAUAGCGUAUAUUAAAGUUGUUGCGGUUAAAAAGCUCGUAGUCGGAUUUUGGCUGAGAACGAUCGGUCCGCCGUUAGGUGUGCACUGAUUGGUCUCAGCUUCCUGGUGAGGAGGUGUGCUUCACGGCCACUUAGUCACCGUGGUUACUUUGAAAAAAUUAGAGUGUUCAAAGCGGGCUUACGCUUGAAUAUAUUAGCAUGGAAUAACACCAUAGGACUCCUGUCCUAUUUCGUUGGUCUCGGGACGGGAGUAAUGAUUAAGAGGAACAGUUGGGGGCAUUCGUAUUUCAUUGUCAGAGGUGAAAUUCUUGGAUUUAUGAAAGACGAACUACUGCGAAAGCAUUUGCCAAGGAUGUUUUCAUUAA
rnacentral:rRNA from 1 species